AUACGGAGGAUGCAAGCGCUAUCCGGAUUUAUUGGGUUUAAAGGGUGCGUAGGCGGAUGAUUAAGCGUGAGGUGAAAUGCCACUGCUCAACAGUGGAACUGCCUCGCGAACUGGUUGUCUUGAAUGCUCCUGCCGUGGGAGGAAUGUGUGGUGUAGCGGUGAAAUGCAUAGAGAUCACACAGAACACCGAUUGCGAAGGCAUCUCACGAAGGGGUGAUUGACGCUGAGGCACGAAAGCGUGGGGAUCAAACAGGAUUAGAUACCCUGGUAGUCCACGCAGUAAACGAUGAUAACUAACCGCUGGGUCGUAGUGAUUCAGUGGCCAAGCGAAAGCGAUAAGUUAUCCACCUGGGGAGUACGACCGCAAGGUUGAAACUCAAAGGAAUUGACGGGG
rnacentral:rRNA from 1 species